rnacentral:rRNA from 1 species
UUACCGUAGGUGAACCUGUGGUAGGAUCACU